rnacentral:rRNA from 1 species
GAUGAACGCUAGCUACAGGCUUAACACAUGCAAGUCGAGGGGCAGCGGUAUCGAAAGCUUGCUUUCGGUAGCCGGCGACCGGCGCACGGGUGAGUAACGCGUAUCGAACCUGCCUCAUACUCGGGAAUAGCCUUGCGAAAGUAAGAUUAAUGCCCGGUGUUUUCAGAGUCCCGCAUGAGGCUUUGAACAAAGAUUUAUCGGUAUGAGAUGGCGAUGCGUCCCAUUAGCUUGUUGGCGGGGUAACGGCCCACCAAGGCAUCGAUGGGUAGGGGUUCUGAGAGGAAGGUCCCCCACAUUGGAACUGAGACACGGUCCAAACUCCUACGGGAGGCAGCAGUGAGGAAUAUUGGUCAAUGGGCGGCAGCCUGAACCAGCCAAGUAGCGUGCAGGAAGACGGCCCUCCGGGUUGUAAACUGCUUUUAGUUGGGAAUAAAACGGGGCUCGUGAGCCCCCUUGCAUGUACCAUCAGAAAAAGGACCGGCUAAUUCCGUG